rnacentral:rRNA from 1 species
UACAGAGGGGGCAAGCGUUGUUCGGAAUUACUGGGCGUAAAGGGCGCGUAGGCGGCCGCCUAAGUCAGACGUGAAAUCCCUCGGCUCAACCGGGGAACUGCGUCUGAUACUGGAUGGCUUGAGUGUGGGAGAGGGAUGCGGAAUUCCAGGUGUAGCGGUGAAAUGCGUAGAUAUCGUAAGGAAGACCAGUGGCGAAGGCGGGUCGUCUGGAC